CAAGGAAAGGUGUAAGAAUCCAUUUGGUUUUUGACAACUGUACCUGAAGAAAGCGGGGUGGAUAGGGCUGUGGCUGCCACUGAGACUGAUCUGGUUUAUCAAGAUGCCCGUGGUGGCUCCUGGAGCACGGGGAGAUACUGUUGUACAGUGUUGACCUGCUGCUCUCCCUAAUACACCUCAGGACAUCAUGGGCCUCUUGGUCACAAGGACACACUGCCGGCUUAUGCACAGCUUAUUGUCCAUGAGGACCCCCAAGUCCUUCUCCAUGGAACUGCUUUCUGGCACCUUUUUUGUAUGAGGUGGAGCACCUUGAAGGCCCCUGGGAGUGAUUGUGCCAUUUCAUCCAAACUGCAAUUCUACGGAGGUCAAAUCAAACUACAUCACAUGAAUGUGUAGCCCUUGAUGCCUCAAGUUUAAAAGCAGAGAAUCAAGGAAGACAACAAUAAAGAAAAGGCAGCAUGCAUAAAGGUAAUUUGAAUGGUAAGUUAAUAUAUCACUCUAUAAGACAGAUAAACACUGCAUUUUAUAUGUGGAUUAUAUAAAGCAUCAAAUAUACUUUAACAUUACACUUUCUAUUGCUUCUUAACAAAGGAUGUGAAGCAGUUGAAUCUUUUCCUUGUUUUUUACCAGCUACAAUAAAACCAGCUCUAUUAGUAGUUUUAUUUGCUUUCAAAUUGGGAGUAUAAAAACUUACAUCCACCCAAGAUAUCCAGGCAACACACCAUCUUACAAUAUACAGCAAAUUGCUUUCUGACUUUUGUCUUGUAAAAAGGAAACUGAACAGAGUUAGUUACUCACCGAA